UUUCUUGUGGUGUAAUUGGAAAGCACGCUUGCCUCUGAAGCAUGAGAUUGAGGUUCGAGUCCUCACCAGAAAA